AUAAUGAGACUAUAAGGAGAACCAGUACUGAGUCAAUGUGCAGGGGUACCAGGUAGUUGAGGUAAUAAUGAGACUAUAAGGAGUACCAGUACUGAGUCAAUGUGCAGGGUACCAGGUAGUUGAGGUAAUAAUGAGACUAUAAGGAGAACCAGUACUGAGUCAAUGUGCAGGGUACCAGGUAGUUGAGGUAAUAAUGAGACUAUAAGGAGUACCAGUACUGAGUCAAUGUGCAGGGUACCAGGUAGUUGAGGUAAUAAUGAGACUAUAAGGAGUACCAGUACUGAGUCAAUGUGCAGGGGUACCAGGUAGUUGAGGUAAUAAUGAGACUAUAAGGAGUACCAGUACUGAGUCAAUGUGCAGGGUACCAGGUAGUUGAGGUAAUAAUGAGACUAUAAGGAGAACCAGUACUGAGUCAAUGUGCAGGGUACCAGGUAGUUGAGGUAAUAAUGAGACUAUAAGGAGUACCAGUACUGAGUCAAUGUGCAGGGUACCAGGUAGUUGAGGUAAUAAUGAGGCUAUAAGGAGAACCAGUACUGAGUCAAUGUGCAGGGUACCAGGUAGUUGAGGUAAUAAUGAGACUAUAAGGAGUACCAGUACUGAGUCAAUGUGCAGGGUACCAGGUAGUUGAGGUAAUAAUGAGACUAUAAGGAGUACCAGUACUGAGUCAAUGUGCAGGGUACCAGGUAGUUGAGGUAAUAAUGAGGCUAUAAGGAGUACCAGUACUGAGUCAAUGUGCAGGGUACCAGGUAGUUGAGUUAAUAAUGAGACUAUAAGGAGAACCAGUACUGAGUCAAUGUGCAGGGUACCAGGUAGUUGAGGUAAUAAUGAGACUAUAAGGAGUACCAGUACUGAGUCAAUGUGCAGGGUACCAGGUAGUUGAGGUAAUAAUGAGACUAUAAGGAGUACCAGUACUGAGUCAAUGUGCAGGGUACCAGGUAGUUGAGGUAAUAAUGAGACUAUAAG